rnacentral:rRNA from 1 species
CGGAAUGAGCGGCGGACGGGUGAGUAACACGUGGGCAACCUGCCUGUAAGACUGGGAUAACUUCGGGAAACCGGAGCUAAUACCGGAUAGUAUUUCCUUUCUCCUGAUUGGAAAUGGAAAGACGGUUUCGGCUGUCACUUACAGAUGGGCCCGCGGUGCAUUAGCUAGUUGGUGGGGUAAUGGCCCACCAAGGCGACGAUGCAUAGCCGACCUGAGAGGGUGAUCGGCCACACUGGGACUGAGACACGGCCCAGACUCCUACGGGAGGCAGCAGUAGGGAAUCUUCCGCAAUGGACGAAAGUCUGACGGAGCAACGCCGCGUGAGCGAUGAAGGCCUUCGGGUCGUAAAGCUCUGUUGUUAGGGAAGAACAAGUACGAGAGUAACUGCUCGUACCUUGACGGUACCUAACCAGAAAGCCCCGGCUAACUACGUGCCAGCAGCCGCGGUAAUACGUAGGGGGCAAGCGUUGUCCGGAAUUAUUGGGCGUAAAGGGCUCGUAGGCGGUUUCU